GAUGAACGCUGGCGGCGUGCCUAAUACAUGCAAGUCGAGCGAAUGGAUUAAGAGCUUGCUCUUAUGAAGUUAGCGGCGGACGGGUGAGUAACACGUGGGUAACCUGCCCAUAAGACUGGGAUAACUCCGGGAAACCGGGGCUAAUACCGGAUAACAUUUUAAACCGCAUGGUUCGAAAUUGAAAGGCGGCUUCGGCUGUCACUUAUGGAUGGACCCGCGUCGCAUUAGCUAGUUGGUGAGGUAGCGGCUCACCAAGGCAACGAUGCGUAGCCGACCUGAGAGGGUGAUCGGCCACACUGGGACUGAGACACGGCCCAGACUCCUACGGGAGGCAGCAGUAGGGAAUCUUCCGCAAUGGACGAAAGUCUGACGGAGCAACGCCGCGUGAGUGAUGAAGGCUUUCGGGUCGUAAAACUCUGUUGUUAGGGAAGAACAAGUGCUAGUUGAAUAGCUGGCACCUUGACGGUACCUAACCAGAAAGCCACGGCUAACUACGUGCCAGCCGCCGCAGUAA
rnacentral:rRNA from 1 species